GACAGAGGUGCCAAGCGUUAGGCGGAAUCACUGGGCUUAAAGCGUGUGUAGGCGGAAUGGUAAGUACCUUGUGAAAUCCCACGGCUCAACCGUGGAACUGCUGGGUAUACUGCCCUUCUUGAGCCACUUAGGGGCUGUCGGAACAAACGGUGGAGCGGUGAAAUGCGUAGAUAUGCGGAGGAACACCGAUGGCGAAGGCAAUCCCCUGGGCCUGCACUGACGCUCAUGCACGAAAGCGUGGGGAGCAAACAGG
rnacentral:rRNA from 1 species